rnacentral:snoRNA from 1 species
CUUCAUGAUGAAUAUCCAGAUAGGGACAGCUUAUGCUUGAAGCAUAUGAUGUGAACUGGACGAAUAUUUUAGUAGAUGCUUCGUGUUUUCUGAAA